UAGGGAAUAUUGGACAAUGGGGGCAACCCUGAUCCAGCCAUGCCGCGUGAGUGAAGAAGGCCCUCGGGUUGUAAAGCUCUUUUGUCCGGAAAGAAAAGCUUCGGGUUAAUACCCCGGGGUUCUGACGGUACCGGAAGAAUAAGCACCGGCUAACUUCGUGCCAGCAGCCGCGGUAAUACGAAGGGUGCAAGCGUUACUCGGAAUUACUGGGCGUAAAGCGUGCGUAGGUGGUUGUUUAAGUCUGAUGUGAAAGCCCUGGGCUCAACCUGGGAAUGGCAUUGGAAACUGGGCAGCUAGAGUGCGGUAGAGGGUAGUGGAAUUCCCGGUGUAGCAGUGAAAUGCGCAGAGAUCGGGAGGAACAUCUGUGGCGAAGGCGACUGCCUGGACCAGCACUGACACUGAGGCACGAAAGCGUGGGGAGCAAACA
rnacentral:rRNA from 1 species